rnacentral:lncRNA from 1 species
AUUUUUUUAUCUUGAAUUCUGUUGAGACUGAGGGCUUAUUAAAUUAGUAGAGUCGAGCACAUUGGAAGGGGGAACAAAGUCUAAAAUAUCAGUAAGUUCCUAAGUAGCUUACUAUUAGUCGAGCCUUCUUCUUACGUACAGAACAGUCUUGGAGAGGAACACAGUAAGAUUUAAUAGUCAACAUCCUAAACUUUCAUAAUCAAGCAACUCUAAAGCCAGUUCCAGACAAAACCGCAAACUCAACCACAGUUCCAAAUUCAACUCUAUCACCAUCUAUUUGCCAAACAAAACCCACCCUUAUGACAAGAACCGUCUUUAAACCUUCAUUCACUAGCCUUACCAUCAAUAGAACCCCAUACUUGAUCACAUUUAAAACCAAACACAAAAAACCCACUAAACUUAGAAAACUCAAAAUCCAACACAAUUAACCCAUCCUCAAUCAUAAUCAACAGGAAACCAUUCCCCACCACAACAUCCAUCCAUAACUAAGAUUGAUAAGCUGUUCCCAAACUGAUUCUAUCACCACCUUCAACAGUUGGGUCUUGUUCCUUUUCACCACCAGCAUUAGUUAUCAAUAGAUCCUACCAACACAAAGCCAAGGAAAAAGCAAAGCGAAAUCAAAAAUGAAAAAGAAAAGCAUAAAUAAAAAAGGAAAAAUUUUUUGGGGUUUCAUUUUGGGCUUUAUCCAGGGGAUUCAUUGAAAAAAUAGUCAAGAGCAAGAGGGAAACAUACCUCGAAGUGGCACCGAAUGAAGUGGCAGAGGAAGAGAUUUUAGAGGUUGAGCCCACGGUUUUCAAAGCUUGAUCUAUAAAGUUAGAGACAUAUUCAUGGAAAACCAACAACAUCACGUAAAAGAGGAGGCCAUGGCAAGCUUUAGGGUGAAAUUUGAAGUUGAUUGGUGGCUAGCUGGCAAUAGUGAUGGGCGACGUGUGGCAGUGACGGUGACGAAGCAUCUCUAGAUUUUAAAAAUUUUGAAAAACAUGGUGACUGGUGUUCUUGGUUCUUGAGUUUUCUAGAAAACUUUAAAGAGAAGACAAAGCAAGUUUCAUGCAAAGAGAGAAGAGAGAAUUCAGUCUUUUAAAAAGAGAAGUUAGG